rnacentral:tRNA from 1 species
GGUCCGGUAGCUCAGUUGGAUAGAGCAACAGCCUUCUAAGCUGUGGGUCCCGGGUUCGAACCCCGGCCGGAUCA